AUUGAACGCUGGCGGCAGGCUUAACACAUGCAAGUCGAGCGAGCGGCGGACGGGUGAGUAACGUCUGGGAAACUGCCUGAUGGAGGGGGAUAACUAUUGGAAACGGUAGUUAUUACCGCAUACCAUCAGAUGUGCCCAGAGGGGAUUAGCUAGUAGGUGGGGUAAUGGCUCACCUAGGAGACGAUCCCUAGCUGGUCUGAGAGGAUGACCAGCCACACUGGAACUGGGACACGGUCCAGCCUCCUAGGGGAGGCAGCAGUGGGGAAUUUUGCACAAUGGGCGCAAGCCUGAUGCAGCCAUGCCGCGUGUGUGAGGAAGGCCUUCGGGUUGUAAAGCACUUUCAGCGAGGAGGCGUUACUCGCAGAAGAAGCACCGGCUAACUCCGUGCCAGCCGCCGCGGUAAUAC
rnacentral:rRNA from 1 species